AUGCACAACGGCGUGGCUGCCUCUGCCGCCGACGACAUUGCCGAGCUUGCGAUCACCUCGCUUCCCCUCGACAUGCGGUUCCGCCCGUUCCAUCUGAGGCAGUACGGCGGGUUCUGGCUCCUGGAGGAGUUCCUCGUGGUCGUUCUGGCCGUCCACUCGGUCUUCGAGCCGAGGCCGUCGGAUGUCCUCCUUGCCAGCUUCCCAAAGUGCGGUACCACCUGGCUCAAGGCUAUCGCCUUCUCCACGCGCAACCGAGCCGAGCACCCACCAUGUGACCUCAACCACCCUCUCCGCCAUGGCAACCCCCAUGAUGUCGUCAGGUACCUGGAGAUGGCGUUCGCGUAG
rnacentral:rRNA from 1 species